rnacentral:lncRNA from 10 species
CAGAAUAAAUAAGUCCGUCUUCAAUGUUAUUUCAAUGUGAUGUUUCUACUGCUACAACAAGGAAAAUUCAAAUUUUAAAUAAGUAGAUUGAGAAAUAGAAAAAUAGAAAAUUGAUGGAGAUAAAAUAUUAUUAAAGGAUUAGAUUGGAAAAACGUGGCAUUUCACUCUGGAGCAUUCAUUUUUACUUACUUGGAUUAAGACACCCAUUUCACAAGUGACUAAUACUCAGGGAUGGUCUAAGAAGAGGCAACAUUGCUGAGACACAGAGAGGAGAAAUGAAGCGAGAAGAGGAAAAGGCUAUGUGAAAGCAGAAGCGGAGGUUGGAGUUAUCCUACCACAAGCCAUGGAAUGCCUAGAGCUACCAGAAACAGAAGAAGAAAGUUCUUCCCUCAUCUUCAGAAGGAACACAGCAUUGCA